UUUUAAGAUGAGAGUUUGAUCCUGGCUCAGGACGAACGCUGGCGGCGUGCCUAAUACAUGCAAGUCGAACGCGUCUUGGUUAAUG
rnacentral:rRNA from 1 species